ACUUUCUUGCAGUGCAAGUGUUAGCAGCAGUAAGAGAGGGAAAGGUGUGUUUAUAUACACACACAGGACACACGCAUACAUAAUCUAGAUAAAGAAAAGCCAGAACAAAGCUGUGAGCACUGAGGGUAGGCAUCACACUGCUCUGUCACAUUCACUCAUGUCUGCUUGAGUGUGUGCAUCCCCUCCCUUCCUCCCUUCCUCCCUUCCUCUCUUCCUCCCUUCCUCCCUUCCUCCUUUCCUCCCUUCCUCCCUUCCUCCCUUCCAUACUUCUUUCAAUCUUCUUCUGUUUUGUUUGUUUGUUUUGUCUUAUUUUGAGACAGCUUUGUAACUCUGGCCUAGAAUUUACUCUGUAGUCCAGGCUGGCCCCACACCCUCCUGCCGGUGCUGAGAUUAAAGGUGCACACCACACCUGGCCUUGUCUCGGUUCCUGUGGCUUAGUCCUCUUGGAAAAGAGUGUCUGUGCAGAAGCUUCUAGAUUAGCCGUUUCUGAAUAAAUGCUUGUGCUGAAGUCUUAAUGGCUAACUCCAAAUAGUGACAGAAGCAUUCUGUUUGCUGUGACCUUCCUGUGUCAUGCAUUUUAAGUGAUCAUGUGAGUCAUAGAAAUUAGUGUGAGUGAGGUUUUAAAAACAUUGGCUAUUAACUCAAAAAGAUUGGCUUUAAGUAUAAUUCCCUUUCUCUCAUCGUUUGCACAGUAUUCGCCUGGGAAUUUUCCUCCGGAGGUACCCCAUAGCACGAGUGUUUGUGAUUAUCUAUAUGGCUUUACUUCACCUCUGGGUCAUGAUUGUCCUGCUGACCUACUCACCAGAAAUGCACCAUGACCAACCAU
rnacentral:lncRNA from 1 species